rnacentral:lncRNA from 1 species
CUUCGAUAGCCAAGACUCAAACACAGUCUCUCUUAUUGAAUCAAAAAUAGGAAGCCUUCUAUUUGGUGAUGAUAUGAUCAUUAUCUCCGAAAGUCAAGAGGGACUUCAAAACAGUUUAAAUAAAUUAAAUGAUUACUGUGAAAUCUGGCAACUUACAGUGAAUAUUAAAAAAAGUAAAACUAUAGCAGUAGGGCAAUCAAAAUGC